UACGAAGGGGGCUAGCGUUGUUCGGAAUUACUGGGCGUAAAGCGCGCGCAGGCGGUCUUCCAAGUCAGUGGUGAAAGCCUGGAGCUCAACUCCAGAACUGCCAUUGAAACUGUUAGACUUGAGUACGAGAGAGGUGAGUGGAAUUCCCAGUGUAGGGGUGAAAUUCGUAGAUAUUGGGAAGAACACCGGUGGCGAAGGCGGCUCACUGGCUCGUAACUGACGCUCAGGCGCGACAGCGUGGGGAUCGAAACAGG
rnacentral:rRNA from 1 species